AGCUCGGCUCUCUUGGCCUGUCCCGACAGCGUCUGCGCCUAGGCCGGAUGGUGCGGAGCUGGGACUGGCCAGCCGUGGCCACAGGGAUUGGGGACCGCAAGGAGUCGGGGCUGAGGCCCUGGAUGUGCCGGAUGAAGAGCUCCCGAUGCUCACACUGCAGGGGAACCGGUGGGAGAGGCUGACGCAGGCGUCCCCCGCCACCACCACGGCCGGAGCUGGAUGCUGCCCUCCCCUCCUCCGCUCACCUGCACUGACGCCCCCAGCAGCAGCCGAAGGAUGCCUUCCAGCUCCUCCACUGCCUCCUCUGCAGGGCCCAAGCCACAGGGGUUAACAGGCCGGCCCGUGCGCCCCCAGAGUCCUGCCUCUGCCCCCACUUCGCCACGCCGCAUCGACCCAGCAUCUCUGGCGGGCACUGAGACGAAGAGGGGAAGGUGGGACUCCCCUGGGAGGAAGGCCUGCAACUCUUGAGGCCUGAGGGACAAUGUCAGAGAGAAGGGAAAGAAGGGAGAAAGAGAAGGAAAGAAACAUCGACGUGUGAGAGAUACACUGAUCAUUUGCCUCUCGCACGCCCCCAGCCAAGGAGGACCUGGCCUGCAACUCAGGCAUGUGCCCCGACCGGGAAUCGAACUGCCAACCUCUCAGUCCGCAGGCCAGCGCACAGUCCGCUGAACCACACCAGCCGGGGCUCCAGCACUCUUGACGACUCACGGGAGGACAUGGCUGUGAAACACACAGACAUCACGCCUCGGUCAGACUUUAAACGUGAAGGAGUUUUCUGAAGACCGUCAACAACGUAUUUUGCUUCCGUUUUAUGUGAGGGUCAGAAUUACAGAGGGGUAUGAUGAGAAUGCACGUGUAAAUCAAAGAGCGCUCCCCCGGGGGGUGUAAAAUAAAGCUUCCAGUGGUCGCAGA